GAUGGAGGAGGUCAGUGAUGGAUGGAGGAGGUCAGUGAGGGAUGAAGGAGGUCAGUGAAGGAUGGAGGAGCGAGAUUAUGGAUGGAGGAGGUCAGUGAAGGAUGGAGGAGGCCAGUGAGGGAUGGAGGAGGCCAGUGAUGGAUGGAGGAGGUCAGUGAGGGAUGGAGGAGGCCAGUGAGGGAUGGAGGAGGUCAGUGAAGGAUGGAGGAGCGAGGUUAUGGAUGGAGGAGGUCAGUGAAGGAUGGAGGAGGUCAGUGAAGGAUGGAGGAGGUCAGUGAUGGAUGGAGGAGGUCAGUGAGGGAUGGAGGAGGCCAGUGAGGGAUGGAGGAGGUCAGUGAGGGAUGGAGGAGGUCAGUGAUGGAUGGAGGAGGUCAGUGAGGGAUGAAGGAGGUCAGUGAAGGAUGGAGGAGCGAGAUUAUGGAUGGAGGAGGUCAGUGAAGGAUGGAGGAGGUCAGUGAGGGAUGGAGGAGGUCAGUGAGGGAUGGAGGAGGUCAGUGAUGGAUGGAGGAGGUCAGUGAGGGAUGGAGGAGGUCAGUGAGGGAUGGAGGAGGUCAGUGAGGGAUG